UUUUUUUUUUUUUUUUUUUUUUAAUUAUUAUUAUUUAUUCGGCUACUCUUCCUCCGCGUCAAGGUCGUCUGCACCCAAGACUGAUGUGUACAUACAUAAACGAUUAAUUAUUAUUAUUAUUAUUAUUAUUAUUGUUGUAAAUGAUAAAAUAUUGAUAAAAAAAAAUAUAAUAAUUAUUAUUAUUAUUAAAACGAACGAAAGAAGAAAAUUUACGGAAUCCGCGGGCAAUACCUUUAUAUACUUAUAUAUAUAUUAUUAUUAUUAUUAUUAUGAAUAAAAAAAAAAAGAAAAAAAAAGAAGAAAUUAUUCUUUCGGAUUCGUCUUCUUUUUUUAUUAUUUUUCGUAUUUAGACGUUAUUUACUAUGCGUAGGUUUUUUUUUUUUUUUUUUUUUUUUUUUCUGUUGUCUAUUUGAAGAGCGUCAGGGAGACACGCGCGCGCUGUACAGGUCGGUCGCAUAAUGGAUCUCAGUAAAUUUUAGACGACGUAUAAUAUUUUUAAAAUAUGUUUUUUUGAAAAACUUACUGAAGCAAAAAAAAAAUAAAAAAAAAUCACCCAAGGAGAGCAAGUGUUAUAUUAUAUUUUAUUACGCGCGUUUCUUUUGUGAUUGUUACCAUUUGUAUAAAUAGUGUAUUAGUCAACGAGUCACGAAGGUAAUUAACAAAUUCCUAACCUAAAACUUAACUGUGUAUAUAAAUAUAUAACUAUAUAUAUAUAUAUUUAUAUAUAUAUAUAUACAUAUACAUAAUAUAUAGAAUAUACGUACAUUUUACUUUUAAUAUUACAUUUGUAUAGUUAAGUAUUUUUUUUUUUUUUUUUAACCAAUUGAUUUGAUAAAACAAAAAGAAAAAAAAAAGAAGAAUAAACGUUAAUUUUUUUAAUUAUUAUUAUUAUUAUUAUUAUUAUUAUUAUUAUACUAUUAUAUAAUUUGUAAUUCGUUUAAUGCUCAAUUUGUAUUAAAUAUAAUUUCGUUGUUCCGCUUUUAAACAAAUUAUGUAAUUUUAUUAUUAUUAUUAUUAUUAUUAUAAUUUUUUUUUUUUUUUUUAUCGUUGUGAUGGUUCGGUACUUAAGGAUGAUAACAAAUGUAUUUUUUUUUUUUUUCGUUUUUGUUGAACUAUUUUAAUGUAAUGAAAUUAACGAUUUGUACAAAAUACCGCGCGAUACUAUAUAAUACGAUCGAGAAAAAAGUGAGAAAAAAUGUAAAAAAAAAAAAAAAAACCGUUAAAAAAAGUAAUCCUUUGUAAGUGUUUAGUUUUUAAAAAUUAAAAAAAAAUAAAAAGCGAAGGUUAUAAUAUGAAUUAUAACGCGACUAUUAAGUUUUGUUGUACGACGCAUUUUCCGACGGUCUUAUAUUUACUGAGUGUAUAAAAAUAAAAUUAUAUAUAUGCAUAAGUUGUAAAAUAUUAUUAUUAUCAUUAUCAUUAUUAUUAUUAUUAUUAUUAUUUUUUUUUUUUU